GCUUACGGCCAUACCAGCCUGGGUACGCCCGAUCUCGUUUGAUCUCGGAAGCUAAGCAGAGUCGGGCCUGGUUAGUACUUGGAUGGGAGACCGCCUGGGAAUACCAGGUGCUGUAAGCA
rnacentral:rRNA from 1 species